rnacentral:rRNA from 1 species
CAAGUUAUUAAGAGCUAUUGGUGGAUGCCUUGGCAUUGACAGGCGAUGAAGGAUGCGUUUACCUGCAGUAAUCUUCGGCGAGCUGGUAUAAAGCUAUGACCCGGAGGUCUCCGAAUGGGGCAACCCGGUAGAUUAAUCAUCUACCAUUAUACGUUGAAUACAUAGACGUAUAAGGCGACACCUGCUGAACUGAAACAUCUUAGUAAGCAGAGGAAAAUAAAUCAAAGAGAUUCCCUGAGUAGCGGCGAGCGAAAGGGGAGAAGACCAAACCACAUUUUUAAUGUGGGGUUGUAGGGUCGAUAACAUGGGAUCUUAAGUUUUAGUUGAAUACUUCUGGAAAGUAGAACGAUACAGGGUGAUAGUCCCGUAGACGAAAAAACAAGAGACUCUAUUCGAUACCUGAGUAGGGCUAGACACGUGAAACCUAGUCUGAAUCUGGGGAGACCACUCUCCAAGUCUAAAUACUAGUCAAUGACCUAUAGUGAACCAGUACUGUGAAGGAAAGGUGAAAAGAACCCUUGUUAAGGGAGUGAAAUAGAACCUGAAACCAGUAGCUUAUAAGCGGUCGAAGACCUAUAACUUCUUAGGAAGUCAUGGUUGACGGCGUGCCUUUUGCAUGAUGAGCCAGGGAGUUAAGUUAAACGGCGAGGUUAAGGGAUCUACAUUCCGGAGCCGAAGCGAAAGCGAGUUUUAAAAGAGCGUUUAGUCGUUUGAUUUAGACACGAAACCAAGUGAGCUAUUUAUGACCAGGUUGAAGCAUGGGUAAGACCUUGUGGAGGACCGAACCAGUACAUGUUGAAAAAUGUUUGGAUGAGUUGUGAAUAGGGGUGAAAGGCCAAUCAAACUUGGAGAUAUCUUGUUCUCUCCGAAAUAACUUUAGGGUUAGCCUCGGAUAUUAAGCUUUUGGGGGUAGAGCACUGAAUUCUAGCGGGGGCCUACCGGCUUACCAACGGAAAUCAAACUCCGAAUACCAAAAGCGAGUCCGGGAGAUAGACAGCGGGGGCUAAGCUUCGUUGUCGAGAGGGGAACAGCCCAGACCGCCGAUUAAGGUCCCAAAUUUUAUGCUAAGUGAGUAAGGAAGUGAUGAUUCUAAGACAGUUGGAAUGUUGGCUUAGAGGCAGCAAUCAUUUAAAGAGUGCGUAACAGCUCACCAAUCGAGAAUCAUUGCGCCAAUAAUAAUCGGGGCUCAAGCAUAAAACCGAAAUCGCGGGUGUAUAUUUAUAUAUACGCGGUAGGAGAGCGUAGUAUUCAGCAGUGAAGGUAUACCGUAAGGAGUGCUGGAGCGGAUACUAGUGAAGAUCCAUGGCAUAAGUAACGAUAAAGGAAGUGAAAAUCUUCCUCGCCGUAAGCACAAGGUUUCCAGGGUCAAGCUCGUCUUCCCUGGGUUAGUCGGACCCUAAGUCGAGGCACAAAUGCGUAGACGAUGGAGCAACAGGUUAAAUAUUCCUGUACCACCUAAAACUUUAGCAAUGGAAUGACGGAGUACGUUAAGCACGCGGACGAUUGGAAAUGUCCGUAUCACAAUGAGACCGGUUAGUAGGCAAAUCCGCUAACAUAAGGUUAGGUUGUGGUUAAGGGAAAUCUUCGGAGGAACUGAUAGUGUGGCGCAAGGCUUUCAAGAAAUAAUUUCUAGCUGUUGAUGGUGACCGUACCUAAACCGACACAGGUGUGCGAGAUGAGUAUUCUAAGGCGCGCGAGAUAACUUUCGUUAAGGAACUCGGCAAAUUAUCCCCGUAACUUCGGAAGAAGGGGAGCCUCUUAGGGUGAUUGCCUUUACGGCAUGAGCUCCGGGG